UCCGUAGGUGAACCUGCGGAAGGAUCAUUAUCGAAUUUAAAGCUUGGUUGAGCUGUCGCUUCGGCGUACGUGCUCGCCUCGCCGUCCAUUCUUCAACACCUGUGCACACUUCAAAGUAAUCGUUCUGUCCCAUCCCGCUUGUACGGGGGAGUUGUGAAAAAGGGAUCAUUAAUUUGGUUUCUCUUUUUAUAGCUUUCCAAAGAGAGGGUAAGACGUUACAAGAACGAUCUUUGCCUUAUAACAUACCCUUCUUUUAAAAAUGUUUAUGAACGUCAAAAAAAUGUAGGCUCGCCUUAAAAACGUGUAGCUGAAAUUAUAAAAUUAUACAACUUUUAACAACGGAUCUCUUGGCUCUCGCAUCGAUGAAGAACGCAGCGAAAUGCGAUAAGUAAUGUGAAUUGCAGAAUUCAGUGAAUCAUCGAAUCUUUGAACGCACCUUGCGCUCCCUGGUAUUCCGGGGAGCAUGCCUGUUUGAGUGUCAUUAAAUUCUCAACUUYGAAUCGUUUGUUUACAGACUUUACGAGGCUUGGACUUUGGAGUGUGCCGGUCUCUAACGAGAUCGACUCCUCUUUAAAUGCAUUAGCUGGAACCUCUUGUGGACCAGACUACGGUGUGAUAAUUAUCUACGCUGUUGGUCUUGUGAAGCACUUUAUUGUUACGAGGUUCUGCUUCUAAUCGUCCUUUACUGYGACAAUGAGGGUUUUAUUCUUAAUUGAAUUGGCCUUUGACAUUUUGACCUCAAAUCAGGUAGGACUACCCGCUGAACUUAAGCAUAUCAAUAAGCGGAGGA
rnacentral:rRNA from 1 species